rnacentral:rRNA from 1 species
UGGGGAAUAUUGCACAAUGGGGGAAACCCUGAUGCAGCGACGCCGCGUGAGCGAUGAAGGCUUUCGAGUCGUAAAGCUCUGUCCUAUGGGAAGAUAAUGACGGUACCAUAGAAGAAAGCCCCGGCUAAUUACGUGCCAGCAGCCGCGGUAAUACGUAAGGGGCGAGCGUUGUCCGGAAUUAUUGGGCGUAAAGAGUGCGUAGGCGGCAAAUUAAGUCAGAUGUGAAAACUAAGGGCUCAACCCAUAGAUUGCAUCUGAAACUGAUAUGCUUGAGUCAAGGAGAGGAAAGUGGAAUUCCUAGUGUAGCGGUGGAAUGCGUAGAUAUUAGGAGGAAUACCGGUGGCGAAGGCGACUUUCUGGACUUGAACUGACGCUGAGGCACGAAAGCGUGGGGAGCAGACAGG